rnacentral:rRNA from 1 species
UACGUAGGGUGCGAGCGUUAAUCGGAAUUACUGGGCGUAAAGGGUGCGUAGGCGGUUCGUUAAGUCUGUCGUGAAAUCCCCGGGCUCAACCUGGGAAUGGCGAUGGAUACUGGCGAGCUAGAGUGUGUCAGAGGAUGGUGGAAUUCCCGGUGUAGCGGUGAAAUGCGUAGAGAUCGGGAGGAACAUCAGCGGCGAAGGCGGCCAUCUGGGACAACACUGACGCUGAAGCACGAAAGCGUGGGGAGCAAACAGG